UUCAAGUGAAACCAUAAGUUUCCGCAUUCAACUUUGAUCGUCCGUCUUAUUUGAAAUUUUUUAUAAUUAAUAUUUUUGUUGUUAUGAGAUGAUAAAACAUGAAUAGUACUUUACUCGUGAUUUAUUUUUUUAUUUUUUUAAAACAAAUUUCAAACAAGACGGACGGUUAAAGUUAGACGUGGAAAACCAUGGCUACACAUAAA
rnacentral:pre_miRNA from 1 species